rnacentral:rRNA from 2 species
CGGGCCUUGUACACACCGCCCGUCACACCAUGGGAGUGGGUUGCAAAAGAAGUAGGUAGCUUAACCUUCGGGAGGGCGCUUACCACUUUGUGAUUCAUGACUGGGGUGAAGUCGUAACAAGGUAACCGUAGGGGAACCUGCGGUUGGAUCACCUCCUUACCUUAAAGAA